rnacentral:rRNA from 1 species
AACGAACGCUGGCGGCAGGCCUAACACAUGCAAGUCGAGCGGAUCCUUCGGGAUUAGCGGCGGACGGGUGAGUAACGCGUGGGAAUAUGCCCUUCUCUACGGAAUAGCCUCGGGAAACUGGGAGUAAUACCGUAUACGCCCUACGGGGGAAAGAUUUAUCGGAGAAGGAUUAGCCCGCGUUGGAUUAGGUAGUUGGUGGGGUAAUGGCCUACCAAGCCUACGAUCCAUAGCUGGUUUGAGAGGAUGAUCAGCCACACUGGGACUGAGACACGGCCCAGACUCCUACGGGAGGCAGCAGUGGGGAAUCUUAGACAAUGGGGGAAACCCUGAUCUAGCCAUGCCGCGUGAGUGAUGAAGGCCUUAGGGUUGUAAAGCUCUUUCAGCUGGGAAGAUAAUGACGGUACCAGCAGAAGAAGCCCCGGCUAACUCCGUGCCAGCAGCCGCCGCUGUAA